rnacentral:tRNA from 1 species
GCCAGUGUGGUGCAGUUGUUUGAGCAUUGCACUAUAACUCUGGAGACCAGGGUUCAAAUUCCGGCUUGGCCA